rnacentral:rRNA from 1 species
UCAGAGGGAGGUAGAAUUNCACGUGUAGCAGUGAAAUGCGUAGAGAUGUGGAGGAAUACCGAUGGCGAAGGCAGCCUCCUGGGAUAACACUGACGUUCAUGCUCGAAAGCGUGGGUAGCAANCAGGAUUAGAUACCCUGGUAGUCCACGCCCUAAACGAUGUCAAUUAGCUGUUGGGCAACUCGAUUGCUUAGUAGCGUAGCUAACGCGUGAAAUUGACCGCCUGGGGAGUACGGUCGCAAGAUUAAAACUCAAAGGAAUUGACGGGGACCCGCACAAGCGGUGGAUGAUGUGGAUUAAUUCGAUGCAACGCGAAGAACCUUACCUGGUCUUGACAUGUACGGAAUCCUCCAGAGACGGAGGAGUGCCUUCGGGAGCCGUAACACAGGUGCUGCAUGGCUGUCGUCAGCUCGUGUCGUGAGAUGUUGGGUUAAGUCCCGCAACGAGCGCAACCCUUGUCAUUAGUUGCCAUCAUUUAGUUGGGCACUCUAAUGAGACUGCCGGUGACAAGCCGGAGGAAGGUGGGGAUGACGUCAAGUCCUCAUGGCCCUUAUGACCAGGGCUUCACACGUCAUACAAUGGUCGGUACAGAGAGUAGCCAAGCCGCGAGGUGGAGCCAAUCUCACAAAACCGAUCGUAGUCCGGAUUGCACUCUGCAACUCGAGUGCAUGAAGUCGGAAUCGCUAGUAAUCGCAGGUCAGCAUACUGCGGUGAAUACGUUCCCGGGUCUUGUACACACCGCCCGUCACACCAUGGGAGUGGGGGAUACCAGAAGUAGGUAGGGUAACCGCAAGGAGCCCGCUU